rnacentral:rRNA from 1 species
AGCUUGCUCCCGGAUGUUAGCGGCGGACGGGUGAGUAACACGUGGGUAACCUGCCUGUAAGACUGGGAUAACUCCGGGAAACCGGAGCUAAUACCGGAUAGUUCCUUGAACCGCAGGGUUCAAGGAUGAAAGACGGUUUCGGCUGUCACUUACAGAUGGACCCGCGGCGCAUUAGCUAGUUGGUGAGGUAACGGCUCACCAAGGCGACGAUGCGUAGCCAACCUGAGAGGGUGAUCGGCCACACUGGGACUGAGACACGGCCCAGACUCCUACGGGAGGCAGCAGUAGGGAAUCUUCCGCAAUGGACGAAAGUCUGACGGAGCAACGCCGCGUGAGUGAUGAAGGUUUUCGGAUCGUAAAGCUCUGUUGUUAGGGAAGAACAAGUGCAAGAGUAACUGCUUGCACCUUGACGGUACCUAACCAGAAAGCCACGGCUAACUACGUGCCAGCAGCCGCGGUAAUACGUAGGUGGCAAGCGUUGUCCGGAAUUAUUGGGCGUAAAGGGCUCGCAGGCGGUUUCUUAAGUCUGAUGUGAAAGCCCCCGGCUCAACCGGGGAGGGUCAUUGGAAACUGGGAAACUUGAGUGCAGAAGAGGAGAGUGGAAUUCCACGUGUAGCGGUGAAAUGCGUAGAGAUGUGGAGGAACACCAGUGGCGAAGGCGACUCUCUGGUCUGUAACUGACGCUGAGGAGCGAAAGCGUGGGGAGCGAACAGGAUUAGAUACCCUGGUAGUCCACGCCGUAAACGAUGAGUGCUAAGUGUUAGGGGGGUUUCCGCCCCCUUAGUGCUGCAGCUAACGCAUUAAGCACUCCGCCUGGGGGAGUACGGGUCGCAAGACUGAAAACUCAAAGGGAAUUGACGGGGGGCCCGCCACAAGCGGUGGAAGCAUGUGGGUUUAAUUCGAAGCAACGCGAAGAACCUUACCAGGUC